rnacentral:pre_miRNA from 8 species
GGCUCUGUGGGAUUUCAGACUCUGGCUUUCCGUGUUCACAGCGGACCUUGAUUUAAUGUCUUACAAUUAAGGCACGCGGUGAAUGCCAAGAGCGGAGCCUUUUAACAUCAGCAGGCCAA